rnacentral:tRNA from 1 species
GGCCCUGUAGCUCAGGAGGAUAGAGCAGCGGUUUCCUAAACCGAAGGUCGGGGGUUCGAGUCCCUCCAGGGCCA